AGAACAAACAAUUUUCAUCAGAUAACUGGACUUGACUUUGAAUCCUUGAUCUGAUACUCACUAGCUGCAUGAUCUCGACAAGUUACUUGAUCUCUCUGAACUUCAAUUUCCUCGUUGAUAAAUUGGGAUAAGAAUACCCAUUUGACAAAGCUGUUGCAAAGAGUCAAUGGAGUAAUGGAUGACGAAACAUCACUUACAAUUCCUGUGGGCAGGAACUUCCUUUCAAUGGUUUUCAACUUUAGCAUAGCUGGACGUGGAAUAAGAGCUCCCAUUCAAGUACUAAUCAGGCCCGACCCUGCUUAGCUUCGGAAAUCAGAUGAGAUCGGGCACGUUCAUGGUGGUAUGGCCAUAGAUCAUGGAACCAGAACUCAAUAUUUGAAUCUGCUGCUUAGAUGUGAUAGUUAAGAUCAUGACAAAGAAUAAACCUUCGAGUGUGAGAAGCAGAGGGCUAAGAACUGAUCACCGAGGGAUGGCCAUAGUGAUGGAUUGGGAGGAAACAGUUUGGGACUCUGGCAUUGCAUCGAGGGAGAAGAGAGUUUCAGAAACAGGGAUUUAGGAUAGUUAUUUAAAAAACAAAAAACCUUUGAAUAAAAAAAGAGAACGAUUAAGAAAGCAAUCAACAGUGUCAAAUGCCUAAGAGAAUUCAAGGAGGAUGUGAUUCUCAGAA
rnacentral:lncRNA from 1 species